AGUGUCACUGGGUGACUAAUCCGGGCGGAACUGUAGUGUGGGAAAUAUUUCCGCCCGGACCAAUUUAAGUGAAACAUAAGUUCUGUUCCGGUUGGCCCAAGGUGGGGAAAUUAUCCAAAAUACAUGUCAGGUGUGGGAAGAGGACGUGUUGGAUACCGAUUGGAGGAUCGGGAAGGAUGCAGUGAUAUAAAAGGGGCUGGUUUAUGAACAGGAGUAGGUUUUUUGUUCUGCUGUUGUUCCACGGGAUACGGAAGUGGCUGGUGUGGCGUGGAUGUUGCGAUUUACGGGCUGCAACGGAGAAUCCAAGGAAAAUGGAUAUUGGAAGUGCGGAGGAAGUUAAGUGAUCGACCUUUUGUAUGUUGUGUUUACCUCUUAUUGUGGAUUGAGUUGAAGGAGCGAUCCUACGUUUGGAAGGCCCCUGAGUGAAGGAGAUCAUUGAAUUUGUGUUGGGAGAGGACAACACUGUGCACUGUGUUGAUAGUAGUGCCUUGCAAUGGAGAUCGCUGGGAAAGACGGAGAGACUCCGGUGUACGAUAUACCUGCCUGCUGUGGUCUGCCCUCCUGCCUUUGUCCAUCUGAUACGCCCUGUCAGGACUCUGAGCCCGAAACGGGAAUACACCACCGAUCUUCUUUCACUGAGUGUGUGGAGUGUGGUGAGUGCUGCUAUAUUGAAGUGUACACACGAGAAGAAUUGUAGUGCCUUUGUGGUGUUUGUCCGUGGUUGUGUCCCUGGUCGUAGGAAGAGGCCUGACGGAGAGGAGUAGUGUAUUGGUGGCAACCACAGUUUUUACCUUAAGUAAGCUGGAGCUCGGACGUGUUGGAGGCGCCUCUGGAGGAGGUUGGAUGACGUUGCCCACGCAACAAUCUCUGUAAGCUUUUAAAUCAAAGCCUUAUCCUUUUUAUCCAUGUGACGUUGUGUCAUUGGCCUUGUCGGCAACCACCGGCCCUGUGCGUGUCGUCUGUGCUGUUUAUUUGACGAGGGAAGCGAAGGACAACAGCCGAUCCUCCCCCGUGUGCCCCCUUGUCAAGCUGGGCGGGAAGCCCAGUAUUGUUUGCAGUCUCACCUGUAAGGCCCACCAGCCGUCAGUCAUCGACUAAACCCGUAUCUGCUUGGAAUACAGACCUCUGAAUAUCUUCAGUGAUACUUUACAGUUGCACAAUCUGCAAAGCAUGCAAAAGAUGCAGUGACUGGGGAGCUAGAGGAAGACCAGAGGAGGAGCACAGCUGCAGAACAACAGGAAAAGUUCCCUUGAGUGGAAGCAGCAGCAGCAAGCAGCUUUAUGCAAGAGUUUGACCAAAUUCUGGUGGAAUGUGAAGAUCCCGGUGCAGCAAGCAGCUCGAGCCCUGCAGUCCAACUGUAUGGAUAUCUUGCAGAGAAAACCGUCACUGCCUCAGACAAUCCAUACCGGUACUGGGAAGUCAACAAAUACAGAUUACCUUGUCUUGCUGCCAGUGCCACAAAAUACCUCUGUGCCCCCUGCACUAGUGUAGAAAGUGAGAGAGUGUUCAGCACAGUUCCCAACAUUGUGGAUGAAAAGAGAAGUAGGCUUACAGCAGAGAGAGCAGAAAUGCUUGUCUUCAUGAGAAAGAAUUUACCAUAGCUGAUUAAGUGAGCAUUCACAGGUCAUGUUUGUGAUGGUGGUGUGACACUGCACUACGUUUAGAAUGUUUGGUUAUUAUUAUUUGUAUGUGUGAUCAAGUUGUUGUUCGACCAAUUUUUAAUUUGUUUAUUCAGCAUUUGUUAUUACUCAGGUUCAGCUUCUAUGUUGCAUUUUAAAUUUCUGUUUGCAGGACUUUUCACUUUAUAUUUUUGUUUACAAUGUUUGGUUACUGUUUGAUUACUACUGUAUGUUCAGCCAAUAGUUUGUUUCUUGUGUCUACAUUUUAUUUUAAUUUAAGAGUUUGAUUACAUUAUAUUUUAGAUUUGAAUGCAUAAUUUUUAUAUAACAAAUUGUAAGAUUUUUUUUUUACAUGUUUACAAUGUUUGUUAACUGUCAGAUUACUAUUGUAUGUUUGACCAAUACACUGUUUUUUUGUUUCCACUGCUACAUUUUAUUUAUUUAAAGAAGUUUGAUUACAUUCUAUUUUAGAUUUAAAUGCAAUUUAAUUCGACACUUUACAUACAUCUGUUAUUUUGUCUUAGUUAUGUUUAGUUAGUAAAGUCUGGUGCCUUUAGUCUCUUCAAGAAAGGUGCAAAGUGUAAGGUAUACAGUUUAUUAUUAAUUCAACAAUAGUUUCAGUAUCAGUAUCAGGACUGAAAAACUCGGAUCGGUGCACCCCUAGCAGAAACCGGAACACGCUGUCGUGUAUGCUGAUCCAGAUCAUCCCAAAUGUAUAUCAUGCUGCAACCCCACAUGGAAAGAACCUAUAUGUGGAUAUAUGCGCAAAUAUGAAACCUAUAUGCAGUGUAUAUGCACAUAUAUGCUGCAUAUAUGUACAUAUAUGAUAAUGUAUAUGCUGCAUAUAUGCGUAUAUAUGCCACAUAUAGGCAAAAUUGAGGUGCAUAUAUGUGCAUAUACAGGAAAUAUAGGUCACCUUUAUUGCUUCUUCAUAUCCACAUAUAAGCCCUAUACAUACAAGUUAUUUCUUCUAUAUAGCUAAUGGCAGGGUCCGGUCAUUUUCUAGCUCAUAUCUCAUUUUUGACUGUCAUACAUGAUGCCUGACUCAUAUUUCCUAUUAUCAAGGCAAAAACUAAGAAUUAACAAAAAAAUUAUGCAAGAACUUAUGUAUGUGCGAACACGUGAAAUUGGUAUCACAUGUAAUUGGCAUGUUAUGGAAUUUAACUAUGGCAAUAUAUUAACAUGAUAUACAGAGCCGGACAGUAACGGAGUACAUUUACUUGAAUACAGUACUUAAGUACAAUUUUGAGGAAUCUGUAUUUUACACAAGUAUAAUUUUUGGGGAGUACUCAUGACUUUACUCAAGUACAUUUGAGAGGCAAGUAUUGUACUCUUUACUCCCCUACAUUUCAAUCCAUAACCGUAAGUACCCGUUACUUCUUCGGCCCCGUCCACACAGAGACGGACCCCCGAUAUUUUUAGUAAAUGUACAGAUUCGCCGUCCAGAUGAAAUGCAAAGGUGGCGUUUUCAAAUAUAUCCACUCUGGGAGCCAGUUUCAAAACAUAGGUUUCACUCUUCCAAAACGGCAGAUCCGUGUAAUGCCUAUCCGCUAAAAAAUUGUGCGCCUAAAAAAAAAAAUCUCGGACACCCUAUCAAACGUCAUUGGAUAGUGCAGGAAGGAAGAGGAGGAGGAGGAUGAGGCGUGUCAUGACAGACCUUCAAAGAAUAAUAAAGAUAAUUUUUUUUUGUCUUAUUUUUGUUCUUGUACUAUUUGAUUGUUCUUGUAAAUACAUAAUGUACAUUUCUAUAUUUUGAACUUUUAUUUAUGUUGCCUAGCAGGUUUUUUGUCUUAUUUUUGUUGUUUUACUAUAUUUUUUGUUUUGUACUAUUUGAUUGAUCUUGAGUAAAUAAAUAAUGUACAUUCUA